CGGGACAGAAUGAAUAAAAUUCUCAUUCCAUUGUUUGGGUACUUUAUGAUGGAGCGGGACAAAGUUAUCAUUCUAUUGUUUCGGUAGUAAACUGAACAAAAUGAGUUAUAACUUCUUUUAUUCCUAUAUUACCACUUUAAAAUAAUAGAAUGAUCCUUUUAUCUAUAGUUAUUGUUUUGUUUGUCAAAUCAUAUACUCCUUCCUUUCUCAUAUUGUUUAUCUCUUUUGUUUUGAUGCCCUUCCUGGUUGCU
rnacentral:lncRNA from 1 species